UCCCAGACUCCUACGGGAGGCAGCAGUGGGGAAUAUUGCACAAUGGGGGAAACCCUGAUGCAGCAACGCCGCGUGAGUGAAGAAGUAUUUCGGUAUGUAAAGCUCUAUCAGCAGGGAAGAAAAUGACAGUACCUGACUAAGAAGCCCCGGCUAACUACGUGCCAGCAGCCGCGGUAAUACGUAGGGGGCAAGCGUUAUCCGGAUUUACUGGGUGUAAAGGGAGCGUAGACGGCAAGGCAAGUCUGGAGUGAAAGCCCGUGGCCCAACCACGGGACUGCUUUGGAAACUGUGUUGCUGGAGUGCAGGAGGGGUAAGCGGAAUUCCUAGUGUAGCGGUGAAAUGCGUAGAUAUUAGGAGGAACACCGGUGGCGAAGGCGGCUUACUGGACUGUAACUGACGUUGAGGCUCGAAGGCGUGGGGAGCAAACAGGAUUAGAUACCCGGGUACC
rnacentral:rRNA from 1 species